rnacentral:rRNA from 1 species
UUAAGCGACUAAGCGUACACGGUGGAUGCCCUGGCAGUCAGAGGCGAUGAAGGGCGUGCUAAUCUGCGAUAAGCGCCGGUAAGGUGAUAUGAACCGUUAUAACCGGCGAUACCCGAAUGGGGAAACCCAGUGUGAUUCGUCACACUAUCAUUAACUGAAUCCAUAGGUUAAUGAGGCGAACCGGGGGAACUGAAACAUCUAAGUACCCCGAGGAAAAGAAAUCAACCGAGAUUCCCCCAGUAGCGGCGAGCGAACGGGGAGGAGCCCAGAGCCUGAAUCAGCAUGUGUGUUAGUGGAAGCGUCUGGAAAGGCGCGCGAUACAGGGUGACAGCCCCGUACACAAAAGCGCAUGUGCUGUGAGCUCGAUGAGUAGGGCGGGACACGUGGUAUCCUGUCUGAAUAUGGGGGGACCAUCCUCCAAGGCUAAAUACUCCUGACUGACCGAUAGUGAACCAGUACCGUGAGGGAAAGGCGAAAAGAACCCCGGCGAGGGGAGUGAAAAAGAACCUGAAACCGUGUACGUACAAGCAGUGGGAGCACAGGUUUACCUGUGUGACUGCGUACCUUUUGUAUAAUGGGUCAGCGACUUAUAUUCUGUAGCAAGGUUAACCGAAUAGGGGAGCCGGAGGGAAACCGAGUCUUAAUUGGGCGUUAAGUUGCAGGGUAUAGACCCGAAACCCGGUGAUCUAGCCAUGGGCAGGUUGAAGGUUGGGUAACACUAACUGGAGGACCGAACCGACUAAUGUUGAAAAAUUAGCGGAUGACCUGUGGCUGGGGGUGAAAGGCCAAUCAAACCGGGAGAUAGCUGGUUCUCCCCGAAAGCUAUUUAGGUAGCGCCUCGUGAAUUCAUCUCCGGGGGUAGAGCACUGUUUCGGCUAGGGGGCCAUCCCGGCUUACCAACCCGAUGCAAACUGCGAAUACCGGAGAAUGUUAUCACGGGAGACACACGGCGGGUGCUAACGUCCGUCGUGAAGAGGGAAACAACCCAGACCGCCAGCUAAGGUCCCAAAGUCAUGGUUAAGUGGGAAACGAUGUGGGAAGGCCCAGACAGCCAGGAUGUUGGCUUAGAAGCAGCCAUCAUUUAAAGAAAGCGUAAUAGCUCACUGGUCGAGUCGGCCUGCGCGGAAGAUGUAACGGGGCUAAACCAUGCACCGAAGCUGCGGCAGCGAACGUAUCACUUAAAGCGAUUCAGCGGGUUACGAUUGACGGAGCGAAGCGACGUCAAAGCGUAUACAAAGUCGAGUCGGUUUAAGGAUACGUUCGUUGGGUAGGGGAGCGUUCUGUAAGCCCGUGAAGGUGGCCUGUGAGGGUUGCUGGAGGUAUCAGAAGUGCGAAUGCUGACAUAAGUAACGAUAAAGCGGGUGAAAAGCCCGCUCGCCGGAAGACCAAGGGUUCCUGUCCAACGUUAAUCGGGGCAGGGUGAGUCGACCCCUAAGGCGAGGCCGAAAGGCGUAGUCGAUGGGAAACGGGUUAAUAUUCCCGUACUUGGUGUUACUGCGAAGGGGGGACGGAGAAGGCUAUGUUGGCCGGGCGACGGUUGUCCCGGUUUAAGCGUGUAGGUGUGUGUUCCAGGUAAAUCCGGUUCACUUUAACACUGAGGCGUGACGACGAGGCACUACGGUGCUGAAGCAACAAAUGCCCUGCUUCCAGGAAAAGCCUCUAAGCAUCAGGUAACACGAAAUCGUACCCCAAACCGACACAGGUGGUCAGGUAGAGAAUACCAAGGCGCUUGAGAGAACUCGGGUGAAGGAACUAGGCAAAAUGGUGCCGUAACUUCGGGAGAAGGCACGCUGACACGUAGGUGAAGUGAUUUACUCAUGGAGCUGAAGUCAGUCGAAGAUACCAGCUGGCUGCAACUGUUUAUUAAAAACACAGCACUGUGCAAACACGAAAGUGGACGUAUACGGUGUGACGCCUGCCCGGUGCCGGAAGGUUAAUUGAUGGGGUCAGCGCAAGCGAAGCUCCUGAUCGAAGCCCCGGUAAACGGCGGCCGUAACUAUAACGGUCCUAAGGUAGCGAAAUUCCUUGUCGGGUAAGUUCCGACCUGCACGAAUGGCGUAAUGAUGGCCAGGCUGUCUCCACCCGAGACUCAGUGAAAUUGAACUCGCUGUGAAGAUGCAGUGUACCCGCGGCAAGACGGAAAGACCCCGUGAACCUUUACUAUAGCUUGACACUGAACAUUGAGCCUUGAUGUGUAGGAUAGGUGGGAGGCUUUGAAGUGUGGACGCCAGUCUGCAUGGAGCCGACCUUGAAAUACCACCCUUUAAUGUUUGAUGUUCUAACGUGGACCCGUAAUCCGGGUUGCGGACAGUGUCUGGUGGGUAGUUUGACUGGGGCGGUCUCCUCCUAAAGAGUAACGGAGGAGCACGAAGGUUGGCUAAUCCUGGUCGGACAUCAGGAGGUUAGUGCAAUGGCAUAAGCCAGCUUGACUGCGAGCGUGACGGCGCGAGCAGGUGCGAAAGCAGGUCAUAGUGAUCCGGUGGUUCUGAAUGGAAGGGCCAUCGCUCAACGGAUAAAAGGUACUCCGGGGAUAACAGGCUGAUACCGCCCAAGAGUUCAUAUCGACGGCGGUGUUUGGCACCUCGAUGUCGGCUCAUCACAUCCUGGGGCUGAAGUAGGUCCCAAGGGUAUGGCUGUUCGCCAUUUAAAGUGGUACGCGAGCUGGGUUUAGAACGUCGUGAGACAGUUCGGUCCCUAUCUGCCGUGGGCGCUGGAGAACUGAGGGGGGCUGCUCCUAGUACGAGAGGACCGGAGUGGACGCAUCACUGGUGUUCGGGUUGUCAUGCCAAUGGCACUGCCCGGUAGCUAAAUGCGGAAGAGAUAAGUGCUGAAAGCAUCUAAGCACGAAACUUGCCCCGAGAUGAGUUCUCCCUGAGACUUAGAGUCUCCUGAAGGAACGUUGAAGACGACGACGUUGAUAGGCCGGGUGUGUAAGCGCAGCGAUGCGUUGAGCUAACCGGUACUAAUGAACCGUGAGGCUUAACCUU